rnacentral:rRNA from 1 species
AUAAUCAUUAGUCUUUUAAUUGGAGAAUAGUAUGAAUGGCCCCACGUAAUUUUAUUUUAUUAGAUAAAUUUUUGUGAAUUUAAAUUUAAAGUGAAAAUGCUUUAUUAGCUUUUUAGACGAUAAGACCCUUUAGAGUUUUAUUUUCUUUUUUAUUUUUGUAUCAGAAUUUAUUAAUUGGGAUCNGAAAAUUUUAUUGGGGCAAUAAAAGAAUAAAUUAAACUUCUUUAGAUUUUUAUAUAUUAAUUUAGGUAACUUAAUUAUAAAUUUAAUAAAAAAUUACCUAAGGGAUAACAGCGUUAUUAAAAUUAAGAGUUCUUAUCGACAUUUUAGUUUGCGACCUCGAUGUUGAAUUAAAAAUUCCUAGGGGGGUAGAUUUUCCUUUGGAUAGUCUGUUCGACUAUAAAAUUUUUACAUGAUUUGAGUUCAAAUCGGCGUGA